rnacentral:rRNA from 1 species
CAGGCCUAACACAUGCAAGUCGAGGGAGAACCUCACCUUCGGGUGGGGGGAGACCGGCGAACGGGUGAGUAACACGUGAGGAACCUGCCCUGUAGUCUGGAAUAACCUCCGGAAACGGUGGCUAAUGCCGGAUGUUCUUCGUGGUCCGCAUGGAUCGUGGAGGAAAGGUCCGCUGCUACAGGAUGGCCUCGCGGCCUAUCAGCUUGUUGGUGGGGUGAUGGCCUACCAAGGCGACGACGGGUAGCUGGCGUGAGAGCGCGACCAGCCACACUGGGACUGAGACACGGCCCAGACUCCUACGGGAGGCAGCAGUGGGGAAUCUUGCGCAAUGGGCGAAAGCCUGACGCAGCGACGCCGCGUGCGGGAAGAAGGCCUUCGGGUUGUAAACCGCUUUCAGGAGGGAAGAAGCGAGAGUGACGGUACCUCCAGAAGAAGCCCCGGCCAACUACGUGCCAGCAGCCGCGGUAAUACGUAGGGGGCAAGCGUUGUCCGGAAUUAUUGGGCGUAAAGAGCUCGUAGGCGGUCCGUUAAGUCGGAAGUGAAAUCUCAAGGCUCAACCUUGAAACUGCUUUCGAUACUGGCGGACUUGAGGCAGGUAGGGGAAGGUGGAAUUCCUGGCGUAGCGGUGAAAUGCGCAGAUAUCAGGAGG